rnacentral:tRNA from 1 species
GGCGCCAUCGUCUAGGGGUUAGGACAGAUGGUUCUCAGCCAUCAGACCGGGGUUCGAAUCCCCGUGGCGCUACUA